rnacentral:rRNA from 1 species
CUAGGAAUCUUGGGAAUGGGCGAAAGCCUGACCCAGCAACGCCGCGUGGGCGAUGAAGGCCUUCGGGUCGUAAAGCCCUUUUGCAGGGGACGAUGAUGACGGUACCCUGCGAAUAAGCCACGGCUAACUACGUGCCAGCAGCCGCGGUAAUACGUAGGUGGCGAGCGUUGUCCGGAUUUACUGGGCGUAAAGGGCGUGCAGGCGGUUUGUUAAGUGCAGGGUGAAAGCUCCCGGCUCAACUGGGAGAGGUCCUUGCAUACUGGCGAACUCGAGGGAGGCAGAGGAAAGUGGAAUUCCCGGUGUAGUGGUGAUAUGCGUAGAUAUCGGGAGGAACACCUGUGGCGAAGGCGGCUUUCUGGGCCUUACCUGACGCUGAGACGCGAAAGCGUGGGGAGCGAACCGGAUUAGAUACCCGGGUAGUCCACGCCGUAAACUAUGGACACUAGGUGUGGGGGGUAUCGACCCCCUCCGUGCCGAAGCUAACGCAAUAAGUGUCCCGCCUGGGGAGUACGGCCGCAAGGCUAC